rnacentral:lncRNA from 1 species
CUGAACUUUCUAUCUUUUUAACAAAGCAAAAAAUAACAUUUCAUGUCAGAAUUUUUAGUAUCCCAGACAUCUGCAACAUAAAAGGCUGUAAAACGACUAUACAUGUAACUUUUUUUCCAAUCAUGGAAUGGUACACAAAUUGAAUUCAAAUAUAUCAUGGAAAAUAUAUUUUUGAAAUACAUCACAUUGAUGAAAAUCUGUUUGAUGAAUUGGACCACACUGAGUACAUUAAAAGAGAAAAGGGAGUUUGCAUUGUAAGUGUCACUGUGAUUACCUAAAGGUUUUACUGGAAGCAUACAACAUUUAAAACUUUGAAACAAUUAUUUUUGUUUUCCAGAAAAGUCAUCAUGUGAUAGUUUUAAAUGCCAGAACAGGACAAGGAGGUAAAAGAAAAUAAGGCACUUGAACUUUUACUGCAACAAAAAUGUUGCCUGAAUCACAACUUAUUUAACUUAAAGUAGUUUCGAGGUAAGUUAGUAUAGAAUUUACCAUAUUCACAGUUUCAAUAAAUGGCUUUCUUUAAAUGCCUCUCAUUAGUUGAAACAAUGCCUCUUGAAAUCAGAACAUGGGAUUCCAUCAAUUAGAUUUUAUUUUUUAAAAAAGCGCUAUGUAUGUGAUUUCUAUUAAUAUUUUAAAAUAAGAUUUAAAUUCUUACUUUUUAAUUCUAAAGGAGUCAAACUCCAAACAUAAUAUUUAUGAACUCUUCAGCUCAUGCCAGGUGCACAGCUAAAUAUUAACUAGAGAUUUUAAGCAAUGCGAUUAAUCAUCAAAAUAAUUUAUAUUUAAAAGAGAGAAAAAUCCCUCUUUUAUCAAUUACCAAAUAAAUUACUGAAGAAAUAUAGGAUGAGUCAAUUUUCUUACCCUGAAAAAUCUGGGUAGUUAGAAACUUUAAAAUUGAUUGACCUGCAGGAGUUUUGUGAAUACAGAAUAUGAAGCACUUGGGAAAUUUUUUCAUAAACAUGAUGAGAAAACAGAAAAACCUGUUAGAGUCAAUUUUUUUUCACAACUCUGAAAAUUAACAAAAUACAGCAAUCUAGAUUAAAUUCUUUUUCAAGAAAAGUGUCUGGAUAUCAACAUGAAGAGUGCUCUGUGAUGUUUUCAUUUGUCAUCAUCUCAUCUUGUAGUCUUAAAAACCCCUUGUCAGCAAUCAUAACCAGACUUCAAACUAUACUACAGAGCAAUAGUAACAAAAACAGCAUGGUACUGGUACCAAAACAGGCGGGUGGACCAAUGGUACAGAAUAGAGGACACAGAAACC